GGACUACUAGGGUUUCUAAUCCUGUUUGAUACCCACGCUUUCGUGCAUCAGCGUCAGAUAUGCUGUCGCAAGCUGCCUUCGCAAUCGGAGUUCUGCGCAAUAUCUAUGCAUUUCACCGCUACACUGCACAUUCCGCCUACGGCCGCCAAUCUCAAGUUCGCCAGUUUCAACGGCAGGAUUCCGGUUGAGCCGAAAUAUUUCACCGCUGACUUAGCAGACCGCCUACGCACCCUUUAAACCCAAUAAAUCCGGAUAACGCUCGCAUCCUCCGUAUUACCGCGGCUGCUGGCAC
rnacentral:rRNA from 1 species